ACGUGCGAUAGCAAUUUUCAUCUGCUUUGUGGCAUCAUUAUAUAUAUAUAUAUAUAUAUAUAUAUAUAUAUAUAUAUAUAUAUAUAUAUAUAUAUAUAUAUAUAUAUAUAUAUAUAUUUAGCUCCCAUGGCUUUAUGAGAUGCUUUGGACGUGCAUUGAAUCCACUGUUUCAGAGUCAGACUGGUGGAAAACUUGCGCAGUCGGCUGGGGAAGUACAGGCGCUACUCCAUAAGGACUCGGUGGUGAUUUCUCGCUUCCUUUCCAACCGCUGGUUUCAAAGAGCUUGUUCGACCUUGACAACUCGUUCGUUGCGGUUUCCGGUGCAGCAUGUGUGGCAGUGCAAGCAAAGACAAUUCUCUCAGAGGAUACAGUGACGUCACCACUUGUUUGCUCUUCCCAUUCAUUGGAGUGGGCAUCCCUUCGUUACAGCAGCAGAUGAAGAUGGCGUGGAUUGUGCAGCUCUUCGGCGGGAUUGCAGUAUCUAUCGAAGAUGUCGCUGCAGAUUCACACGGCCGGGUGAAACAUGCGCUUGAAACAGAAGGCAUCGAU